rnacentral:rRNA from 1 species
AUUGAACGCUGGCGGCAGGCCUAACACAUGCAAGUCGAACGGUAACAGGUAGCAGCUUGCUGCUUCGCUGACGAGUGGCGGACGGGUGAGUAAUGUCUGGGAAGCUGCCUGAUGGAGGGGGAUAACUACUGGAAACGGUAGCUAAUACCGCAUAAUGUCGCAAGACCAAAGAGGGGGACCUUCGGGCCUCUUGCCAUCGGAUGUGCCCAGAUGGGAUUAGCUUGUUGGUGGGGUAACGGCUCACCAAGGCGACGAUCCCUAGCUGGUCUGAGAGGAUGACCAGCCACACUGGAACUGAGACACGGUCCAGACUCCUACGGGAGGCAGCAGUGGGGAAUAUUGCACAAUGGGCGCAAGCCUGAUGCAGCCAUGCCGCGUGUAUGAAGAAGGCCUUCGGGUUGUAAAGUACUUUCAGCGGGGAGGAAGGGAGUAAAGUUAAUACCUUUGCUCAUUGACGUUACCCGCAGAAGAAGCACCGGCUAACUCCGU